rnacentral:misc_RNA from 1 species
GAUGAAGAACGUAGCGAAAUGCGAUAAGUAAUGUGAAUUGCAGAAUUCAGUGAAUCAUCGAAUCUUUGAACGCACCUUGCGCCCUUUGGCCAUUCCGAAGGGCAUGCCUGUUUGAGUAUCAUGAACACCUCAACUCUUCAUGGUUUUCCGUGAUGAGCUUGGACUUUGGGGGUCUUGCUGGCCUAUGGUCAGCUCCUCUAAAAUAAAUCAGCUUGCCAGUGUUUGGUGGGUAUCACAGGUGUGAUAACUAUCUACGCUUGUGGUUUUCCACCAGGUAUCCUUCAGCAGUGGAGGUUCGCUGGAGCUCACAGAUGUGUCUCUCCUCAGUGAGGACAGCUCUUUGAAUGUUUGAUCUCAAAUCAGGUAGGACUACCCGCUGAACUUAAGCAUAUCAAUAAGCGGAGGA